GCGUUCCAAGUUCGGGGAAUGGGUUUUCCCUCAAGGGUCUCCAGUCGGUAGGCUCUCGGACCGUAGGUGUCUGCUACCUUGUAGGGUCCUUCCCAAUUGGGAGCCAGCUUCCCUUGGUCCAAGGGCUUUGACACUUCUGCCUUCCUCAAGACCAAGUCGCCAGGCCUGAAAAGCUUUGGUCUGACCCUGGCGUUGUAAUACCGAGCGACCC
rnacentral:lncRNA from 1 species